UACGUAGGGGGGCGAGCGUUUGUCCGGAAUCACUGGGCGUAAAGGGCGCGUAGGUGGCCUGUGGAAGUCUGCGGUGAAAGCCCGGCGCUCAACGCCGGGUCGGCCGUGGAUACUCUCGGGGCUUGAGCUUACUAGAGGCAGAUGGGAAUUCCGGGUGUAGCGGUGGAUGCGUAGAGAGUCCGGAAGAACACCGGUGGCGAAGG
rnacentral:rRNA from 1 species